CAGUCGCCGCGGUAAUACGAAGGGGGCUAGCGUUGCUCGGAAUUACUGGGCGUAAAGGGCGCGUAGGCGGACAGUUAAGUUGGGGGUGAAAGCCCGGGGCUCAACCUCGGAAUUGCCUUCAAUACUGGCUGUCUUGAGUAUGAGAGAGGUGUGUGGAACUCCGAGUGUAGAGGUGAAAUUCGUAGAUAUUCGGAAGGACACCAGUGGCGAAGGCGACACACUGGCUCAUUACUGACGCUGAGGCGCGAAAGCGUGGGGAGCAAACAGGAUUAGAUACCCCUGUAGUCCCUGUCUCUUAUAC
rnacentral:rRNA from 1 species